GUUUAUUUUUUAUGUGAUGCUGAGGAUCAAACCCAGGGCCUCACACAUGCUAGGCAAGCGGUCUGCCACUGAGCCACAACCCCAGCCCUCAAUCACAAACUUUUUAAUACUUUAAUUUGUUUAAUCAUUUUCUCUCCCUCUCUUAAAUAUAACAUACUUCCUGCGUUUGUAACUAGCAUAAUGAUUAUUUAACCCUUUCUCAAUUAUACUUGGUAAUAGUAUACUGGACUCACUAUCUCACUUAGUCUACAGAAUGGCCCUGUGAACUAUAUAACUCCUUAUUUACCAUUUUCAGUGAAACAGGGUCUUGCUCUGUUGCCCAGGUUGGCUGCAAACCCCUAGGCUCAGAUUCCUCCUGAUUCAUCCUCUCACAUAGCUAGACUAGAGGCACAAACUACUCUUCCAGGCUGAUAGCUAUUUAUAUCCCAUUUUUUAGAUAGUAAAACUGAAGUUUAGAAAAACUAACUUAAUUCACCAAGACAUUGAUUGCUUUUCAAACUGCCUUUGAAAACUACUCUCCCUUUAAUUAAUUUCACAAUUAUUUUUUAAUAUCUGUGCUGAGUAUUAGGGAACAGAAUAGGCAAGGCCCAUACCCUCACAGAGCUUGUAUUCUAGAGUAUUGAGACAGACAAAUCAGAAAAUACCAGAUUCUUGAUAAAUGCUAUACAGAAAAUUAAAAUAGUAAUGUGAUAGUGACUGAUUGACUACUCUAGAUUGGGUGGUUGAGGGAGGCCUUAAUUUUAAGCUGCAAUGUGACAACUCCCUGAACAAGAACCUUUUUGUCAUCUUCAUUGCCUGGCACACAGUAGGUCCAGAUGAUGAUCAAUGGAUGUGUAAACAGCUUCCAAGGCAGUUUUAUAUCAUGAAUGCUUACCAUGUGUUCAACAUGCCUAGAGUUUUCUGCUUUGUUUUGUUCUGUGUUUUGAUAACUUAGCUUCAUGAACCUGGCUCAGUCUUUGGAGCAUUGAGCUAAAUUUCUAAAUCUUUUGCUUACUGGCCAUGUAAGUUAGAAAAGGGCUCCUUUGUAACUUGCCUGCAUUUUUGUAGGUUCUCUCUUAGCUAAUUGUUAGUUGUUAUUCUUUGUCGUUGUGUAUAAUCUUGUAGCUAAAAAGCCCUAGUUUUGUGCAAAAAACAAGAUAACCGUGUGUUUUUUUCUUAAGAAUUGUGUAUAGUUCAGCAAACCCAAAAACAGCUUUCUCCAACAAGAAAUGCUUAAUGUAAAAUUUGUCAAAAGAAAUGUGGGUUUCUGGAAGGCCUUCUUUAACUUGUUCUACUGAGAUUGUUGGGAUAGUUGAAGCCCUCAGACAACUGAAAUUGUGUGAAGUGACCUAAGUAUUACUAUAAAUAAGUAUUUUAUUUAAGCAGUUCUUUACACUCAGAGUAGAAAAUAUGCAGAAUAGAAAUGGGAUUAGGAUAUUGAGCAGAACGUUGGACUUAAAAGAGGCAUAGCCAUAGCACAUCUUUACCAUAGUGAAAUUGCUAAAGCAGAUUGCAGAAUAAAUUACAUUUUCUCCUUCCUCCUUUUUCCUCCAUUCUUUGCAAAGAAUUAGGUGUGAAAAUAGCAACCAGGACAAAAUAGAAAGUAUAGAGUUGGGGGCUGGGGUUGUGGUUCAGUAGUAGAGCGCUCACCUAGUAGGUAUGAGGUACUGGGUUUGAUCUUUAGCACCACAUUAAACAAAUAAAGGUAUUGUGUCCACCUACAACUAAAAAAUAUAUUUCUUUAAAAAAAGGAAGAAAGUAUAGAGUUGGGCUCAUAAUCUUAAAGCAAAGUAUUUUAUGCCUGAAGUCCUCUCCCUUCUUCGUCCACUGUCAAAAAGUGCUCAGGUUGAUAGUUCUUAACCCAGCUUCACUUGACAAUCAACUAAUGUUAAAAACAAAAAUAAGACCAGGCCUGGUGGCACACACCUGUCAUCCCAGUGGCUCAGGAGGCUGAGGCAGGGGGAUUGUGAGUUCAAAACCAGCUUCAGCAAACAUGAAGCACAAAG
rnacentral:lncRNA from 1 species